GCAAGUCGAGCGCUCUCUUCGGAGGGAGCGGCGGACGGGUGAGUAACGCGUGGGAACGUACCCUUUUCUACGGAAUAGCCUCGGGAAACUGAGAGUAAUACCGUAUACGCCCUUUUGGGGAAAGAUUUAUCGGUGAAGGAUCGGCCCGCGUCUGAUUAGAUAGUUGGUGGGGUAAUGGCCUACCAAGUCUACGAUCAGUAGCUGGUUUGAGAGGAUGAUC
rnacentral:rRNA from 1 species